rnacentral:rRNA from 1 species
ACACAUGCAAGUCGAAGGUGAACUCCUUUCGGGGAGUGGAACUGGCGAACGGGUGAGUAACACGUGGGAAUCUGCCUUGGAGUGGGGAAUAACCGCUGGAAACGGCGGCUAAUACCCCAUACGCCCUGAGGGGAAAGGUUUAUUUCGCUCCAAGAUGAGCCCGCGGCGGAUUAGGUUGUUGGUGGGGUAAAGGCCUACCAAGCCCGGGAUCCGUAGCUGGUCUGAGAGGAUGAACAGCCACACUGGGACUGAGAUACGGCCCAGACUCCUACGGGAGGCAGCAGUGGGGAAUAUUGGACAAUGGGGGAAACCCUGAUCCAGCGAUGCCGCGUGAGUGAUGAAGGCCCUAGGGUUGUAAAACUCUUUCGGCGGGGAAGAUGAUGACUGUACCCGCUAAAAAAGCUCCGUCUAACUUCGUGCCAGCAGACGCGUUAAUACGAAGGGGGCUAGCGUUGUUCGGAAUUACUGGGCGUAAAAAGCGCGUAGGCGUUUUUGUAAGUUGCAGGUGAAAUCCCCGGGCUUAACCCGGGAAGUGCCUUCAAUACUGCAUAACUAGAGUUCGGGAGAGGAUGGUGGAAUUCCAAGUGUAGAGGUGGAAUUCGUAGAUAUUUGGAAAAACACCAAAGGCGAAGGCGACCAUCUGGCCCGUUUCUGACGCUGAGGCGCGAAAGCGUGGGGAGAAAACAGGAUUAGAUACCCUGGUAGUCCACGCAGAAAACGAAGAGUGCUUGCUGUCAGGUUUUUAUGCUCGGUGGCGGCGAAACGUGUAAAGCACUCCGCCUGGGGAGUACG